CUCACUCCUCCUUCCAGCCCCUUCCUGAUUGAGAAAAGCAACCUCAAACGGCAACCCUAGCCUCCACUCACUCACUCGCCCACUCUUAACCAGUUAAUCCUAAAGGCCUCCCCAUUCAUCAACUCAUCAUCAACACUCAUCAGCCAGCCACCACUAGCUGCAGCAGGCGGCAGCUCCUACCAUUGCCGAACUCCUCUCCUCGGCCAGAGCUCGCCUCGCCACUGGAUUUGUGACUGAUAGAGAGUGCCGUCGCUGAACGUCUCUGCCACUCACCCUCUUCUCCUCGCGGUGGAAUCUCUGCUCGAAGCUCUUCUCGUUGCAGUCGCGAACUGCUCCUGCUCGGCUGUCGUCUCCUCGCCGUAACGAGCUCUGUUCUCGGCGUCUCUCUCUUCAAGAUCUCUCUCUAUCUCUACGAGGUCAUUGUCAGCGCCGUGUUACUCCGAGCUCACACUCUCUCCGAGCUCACUCUGUCACCGCCGUUCCUCCCUCGGCGUCUCACCAUUAUUGUUGGCAUGAAGUUUUCUAGUUGUUGCGGUUGGUUCUGUUGUUGGCGAAUUUGUGUUGCUGCUUCAUUAUAAUUACUAAUUUGCUCGCCGUCUCAGACCGAAGAAAACCCUUCUCCACUCCAAUCUCUUUCCUUCGAGUUCAGAGAUCAGAAGCUCAACCAAGAGAAAAACCCUAGCCUCCACCACAGCCGCAGGGAGCAGCCGUGUUUGCCACCGUCCGCCGCAGUCAGGGCUUGUCUCUUUGAGCUUCGUCCGCCGCAUUGAACAACGGUUGAACCGGUGGAACUUCUAAACCGAUGAACCAGUAGCUCGAGCGGUUUGAUGAUUGGUUCAGUUUUCAGAUCCUUGAUUGUACUUGUGAGUUGACUGCCACGGUUUCGGAGUCCUCUUCACUGUUUCUCUGAGGCCACUGCUAACCACUCAGAACCGCCGCCGAAACAAUCAUGCUCUCCAUUGCAACUCUCAACCCUUCAACCCCAUUCAAUCACACCCCAAGUUAUACUGUAUGUCGUAUCCUCAACCGUCACUCUCUCCUCCCAUCCACAUUCUCACUACCACCCAAAUCAAAUCCCUAUUGCUCUUCCUCCACUGACAGACCCCUCCGCGUGCGUGCUAUUGACGCCGUUCAGCUCUUCGACUACGAGUCAAAGCUCGCCAAGGAGUUCACUAUCUCCCGGCGCCUCAAGAUUGCAAUUGUCGGCUUCGGCAACUUUGGCCAGUUCCUUGCCGCCACAUUAGUCCGCCAGGGCCACACCGUCCUCGCCCACUCCCGCUCCGACCACUCUGCCGCAGCCAAAAAGCUUGGCGUAUUGUUCUUCCAAAACCCCGACGACUUAUGUGAGGAGCAUCCCGAAGUGAUCCUCCUCUGCUCCUCCAUAAUCUCAACGGAGCGCGUGCUCCUCACGAUCCCUCUCCAGCGCCUCAAGCGCAGCACUCUCUUCGUUGAUGUCCUCUCCGUCAAAGAAUUCCCCAAGAAGCUCCUCCUUGAGCUCCUCCCCUCCGAUUUCGACGUCCUCUGCACUCACCCGAUGUUCGGACCUGAGUCCGCACGUGACGGAUGGACCGGCCUCCCAUUCGUCUUCGAGAAGGUUCGUAUCCUUGACGAGGAGCACCGUGUUUCUCGCUGUGAGAAGUUCCUCAAUGUGUUUGCCAAAGAAGGUUGCAGGAUGGUGGAGAUGAGUUGCGAGGAUCAUGAUCGUUAUGCUGCUGGUUCGCAGUUCAUUACUCAUACCGUUGGAAGGAUUCUUGAAGGGUUGAUGUUGGAGUCGACGCCGAUUAAUACGAAAGGGUACGAGAGUUUGUUGGGGUUGGUGGAGAACACUGCUGGGGAUAGCUUUGAUUUGUAUUAUGGUUUGUUCAUGUUUAAUAAGAAUUCUUUGGAGAUGCUGGAGAAGCUUGAUUUGGCGUUUGAGGAUCUCAGGAAGCAGCUCAUUGCGCGGUUGCAUCACGUGGUCAGGAAUCAGUUGAUGGAGGACGGUGAAAGGUUGCAGCAGCUGGAUGGAAGUAACAGCCAUGCACUGAUCCGGCGAGCUCGUAAUGGAUCUGCAUUGCUGCAUUCCAGAUCCAACGAUGUUACUCUGCUAAGUAGUUCCAUUUCAAACAAUUCUAGCCCGUCUGAUGAGAACACAAAGCUCAAGAUUGCAAUCGUUGGUUUUGGAAACUUUGGUCAGUUUCUUGCAAAAACUAUAGUUAGUCAAGGUCAUCAGGUUUUGGCGUAUUCUAGAACAGACUAUUCUGAUGUGGCUCGGGAGUUGGGGGUUUCAUAUUUCAGCAACGCAGAUGAUCUUUGUGAGCAGCAUCCAGAAGUGAUUUUACUCUGCACUUCCAUCCUUUCGACGGUUAAAGUUCUUAAAUCAUUACCUUUCCAAAGGUUGAAGAGAAGUACAUUGUUUGUUGAUGUACUAUCCGUCAAAGAGUUCCCUAGAAACCUUUUCCUUCAACACUUGCCUCCUGAUUUUGAUGUUCUCUGCACACAUCCCAUGUUUGGGCCGGAGAGUGGAAAGAAUGGCUGGAAAAACCUUCCUCUUGUUUAUGACAAAGUUAGAAUUGGGAACGAAGAAUCAAGAAUAUUGCGAUGUUGUCAGUUUCUUGACAUUUUUGCUAGUGAAGGAUGCCGGAUGGUUGAAAUGUCUUGUGCUGAACACGAUUGGUAUGCAGCUGGAUCCCAGUUUGUUACACACACAACAGGAAGAUUUUUAGAAAAACUGGGGUUAGAGACAACACCAAUAAACACAAAGGGUUAUGAAACUUUGUUGAGUUUGGUGGAAAAUACCGUGGAGGAUAGUUUUGAUCUGUACUAUGGUUUAUUCUUGUAUAAUUUAAAUGCCAUGGAGCAACUAGAAAGAUUCGAUUUGGCUUUUGAAUCAUUGAAGAAGCAACUUUUCGGACGAUUGCAUAGUAUCUACCGAAAGCAUCUAUUUGAAAAUGAAGAACAGAUCCUUGCUUUGCCAGAGAGGUCUACGCUGCCACAAAAAUCUGAAGACAGUGAUGCAUCAUCACCUCUUUCAAAAACUGUAGAUACCAAAUGAAUUUAUGCCAAAGAUUUCCAUCUCAUUUUUAUUGCCGAUAAAUGUAGAUUUAAGUGUUCUGAAUCUUCAGUGAGAUAAAGCGCAGUCCAGUGGAUAAGCAUCCUGUGUUAGCGCAGGGUUCGGGAAAGAGUUGCAUCCAAAGGAUAUGAUGUACGCAGCCUAACCUAAUAAUUAAAUCAGUGGCUGUUUUCACAGCUUUAACCCGUGAUCUUGGGUUCACACGGAGACAACUCAAUUGUUGUUCUAAAGCUCCCCUUCUGAAUCUGAAGUGAGAUAUUCAUUGAAAUGAAAAAUAUAGAUACUUUAGAUAAAAGUGGGAUAUUUGUAGGAAUUGAGUGACUUAAAAUGCAAAUAUUCACUAGGUAUAACGUGAAAGCAGGAAAUGAUCAUGAAAACUGCUGUGAAGUGUGAUCAUGGACAAUGCUGAGGGAUGGCAAAAAAAUCCGCGCCCAUGGAUACCGCUCGGAUUACCUACGACGAGGAGGUUAACGGGGACAUGCAAAAUUUCUAUAGGGAUGGAGACCCACCUCCAUGAAUAAAUGGAGACGGGGGAGGGGAUUGAGGUACCCGCCCCACGGGACCUGUGAAAUCUCCACAAAAAAUAAUUUACUUAAAUGUCUUUAUGUAUAUAAGUUUUGUAUAUUUCAGGGCUAAGGGCUAAGGUUAUCUUUGGAUUGAAUGCUCUUGUUGGAAGAACCAUACAAUCUGGUUCUGCAGUUGGACCAUGGAACUUCUUCAAUGCCGAAUCUUUUAUCCGUUACAUUGUAAGAAAGAAUUACAGCAUUGCUGGUUGGGAAUGUGGUAAGUGUAUGCUCCCUCAUUACAUAUAUGCCAAAGUAGCAAGCAUUAGUG